AGAGUUUGAUCCUGGCUCAGGAUGAACGCUAGCUACAGGCUUAACACAUGCAAGUCGAGGGGCAGCAUCAUCAAAGCUUGCUUUGAUGGAUGGCGACCGGCGCACGGGUGAGUAACACGUAUCCAACCUGCCGACAACACUGGGAUAGCCUUUCGAAAGAAAGAUUAAUACCGGAUGGCAUAGUUUUCCCGCAUGGGAUAAUUAUUAAAGAAUUUCGGUCAUCGAUGGGGAUGCGUUCCAUUAGGUUGUUGGCGGGGUAACGGCCCACCAAGCCUUCGAUGGAUAGGGGUUCUGAGAGGAAGGUCCCCCACAUUGGAACUGAGACACGGUCCAAACUCCUACGGGAGGCAGCAGUGAGGAAUAUUGGUCAAUGGACGAGAGUCUGAACCAGCCAAGUAGCGUGAAGGAUGACUGCCCUAUGGGUUGUAAACUUCUUUUAUACGGGAAUAAAGUGAGGCACGUGUGCCUUUUUGUAUGUACCGUAUGAAUAAGGAUCGGCUAACUCCGUGCCAGCAGCCGCGGUAAUACGGAGGAUCCGAGCGUUAUCCGGAUUUAUUGGGUUUAAAGGGAGCGUAGGCGGACGCUUAAGUCAGUUGUGAAAGUUUGCGGCUCAACCGUAAAAUUGCAGUUGAUACUGGGUGUCUUGAGUACAGUAGAGGCAGGCGGAAUUCGUGGUGUAGCGGUGAAAUGCUUAGAUAUCACGAAGAACUCCGAUUGCGAAGGCAGCCUGCUGGACUGUAACUGACGCUGAUGCUCGAAAGUGUGGGUAUCAAACAGGAUUAGAUACCCUGGUAGUCCACACAGUAAACGAUGAAUACUCGCUGUUUGCGAUAUACAGCAAGCGGCCAAGCGAAAGCGUUAAGUAUUCCACCUGGGGAAUACGCCGGCAACGGUGAAACUCAAAGGAAUUGACGGGGGCCCGCACAAGCGGAGGAACAUGUGGUUUAAUUCGAUGAUACGCGAGGAACCUUACCCGGGCUUGAAUUGCAACUGAAUGAUGUGGAGACAUGUCAGCCGCAAGGCAGUUGUGAAGGUGCUGCAUGGUUGUCGUCAGCUCGUGCCGUGAGGUGUCGGCUUAAGUGCCAUAACGAGCGCAACCCUUAUCGAUAGUUACCAUCAGGUUAUGCUGGGGACUCUGUCGAGACUGCCGUCGUAAGAUGUGAGGAAGGUGGGGAUGACGUCAAAUCAGCACGGCCCUUACGUCCGGGGCUACACACGUGCUACAAUGGGGGGUACAGAAGGCAGCUACACGGCGACGUGAUGCUAAUCCCGAAAGCCUCUCUCAGUUCGGAUUGGAGUCUGCAACCCGACUCCAUGAAGCUGGAUUCGCUAGUAAUCGCGCAUCAGCCACGGCGCGGUGAAUACGUUCCCGGGCCUUGCACACACCGCCCGUCAAG
rnacentral:rRNA from 1 species